AUUGAACGCUGGCGGAAGGCCUUACACAUGCAAGUAGAACGAGUGGCGGACGUGUGAGUAAUGUUUGGGAAACUGCCUGAUGGAGGGGGAUAACUACUGGAAACGGUAGCAAAUACCGCAUACUAUCGGAUGUGCCCAGAUGGGAUUAGCUAGUAGGUGGGGUAAAGGCUCACCUAGGCGACGAUCCCUAGCUGGGCUGAGAGGAUGACCAGGCACACUGGAACUGAGACACGGUCCAGAUUCCUACGGGAGGCAUCAGUGGGGAAUAUUGCACAAUGGGCUCAAGCCUGAUGCAGCCAUGACGCGUGUAUGAAGAAGGCCUUCGGGUUGUAAAGUACUUUCAGCGGGGAGGCGUUACCCGCAGAAGAAGCACCGGCUAACUCCGAGCCAGAAGCCGCGGUAAUAC
rnacentral:rRNA from 1 species